AUGCUCAACAUCCUCAUACGCUAGAUAACAAGAAGUUGUAUAUGGUGGGAUUCUUUCAUAAGUUUACGAUUUUCUUCGUCGGUGAAGUUAUAUAUGGAGGGAUUCUUUCAUAAGUUUACAAUUUUCUUCGUCGGUCUCCUAUUUCUAAUGGUAUAAUGAUUAUCUACAUUCUUCUGAUGUUUGCUUAUUGUAUUAAUCUCUAUUACUAGCUAGAUAGACAUGAUAUUUUUGUGUGUUUUUAAUGUAGGGACAAUGCCAAAUGCAAACACAAUUUGGCUGCCAAAAUAUACACCAACACGCGAAACUCGUAACAAAAAGUUCCACGGAAUACUAGAGAUAGGGACAGA
rnacentral:lncRNA from 1 species